rnacentral:rRNA from 1 species
AUGGCAACAAGCAUACUGCUCGCCCCUCUCAUUUCCAUGGUGAACCGGAAGGUGUCCAGUUAUCUUGUUCGGCAAUACCAGGAGAUGGAUGGUAUGGAAGAGCAGCUCGCAGUUCUGGAGCGCAAGCUGCCAGCCAUAUUGGACGUCAUAACUGACGCGGAGGAGCAGGGGACUCACCGACCUGGGGUGAGUGCUUGGCUCAAAGCACUCAAGGCUGUUGCGUACAAAGCUAACGAUGUUUUCGAUGAGUUCAAGUAUGAAGCGCUCCGCCGUGAAGCGAAGAGGAAGGGGCAAGACAACAAAUUCAGCACUGAUGCAGUAAUGCUCCGCCCGGCUCACAGCCCUAUUCUGUUUCGUUACAGGAUGGGCAAGAAGCUGCGCAAGAUUGUGCAUACCAUUGAGGUUCUCGUUGCUGAGAUGAAUGCCUUUGGGUUCAAAUAUCGACAAGAAAUGCCAGCGUCCAAGCAGUGGCGACAGACAGAUUCGAUCAUCAUUGACUCUGAGAAUAUUAUCAGCAGAGAGGCAGAGAAGUGGAAGAUUGUUGACAUGUUGCUUGCUCAUUCUACAAACAAGGACGUAUUGGUCCUUCCAGUUGUUGGAAUGGGUGGUUUGGGGAAGACCACUUUUGCACAGAUCAUUUACAAUGAUCCUGAUAUCCAAAAGCAUUUCCAGCUCCGGAAGUGGGUGUGUGUUUUGGAUGAUUUUGAUGUUACAGCCAUUGCUAAUAAGAUCAGUAUGUCAACCGAGAAAGACAGUGAAAGUGCACUGGAGAAGCUUCAGCAAGAAAUCAGUGGAAGGAGGUACCUCCUUGUCUUGGAUGAUGUAUGGAAUCGCGAUACUGAUAAGUGGGCAAAGCUAAAAUACUGUCUUCAACAGUGUGGUGGUUCUGGGAGUGCAAUAUUGAUGACAACUCGUGAUGAAAGAGUAGCUCAAAUCAUGGGAACAGCUCAGGCCCAUCAAUUGGUAAAGAUGGACAAAAAAGAUUUGCUUGCAAUAUUUGAGAAAAGAGCAUUUGGAUUGAAUGAACAAAAGCCUGAUGAGCUGGUUCAGAUUGGCAAGGAGAUCGUGGACAGGUGCCAUGGGUCCCCUUUAGCCGCAAAAGCAUUGGGAUCUAUGUUAAGCAACCAAAAAAGCGUGGAAGAGUGGGGAGCUGUGUUAAAAAAAAGCAGUAUAUGUGAUGAGGAGAGUGGGAUUUUACCUAUACUCAAGCUCAGCUACAAUGAUUUACCUGCACACAUGAAGCAAUGCUUUGCCUUUUGUGCCGUCUUUCCAAAAAAUUAUGUGAUUAAUGUGGAAAAACUGAUACAGUUAUGGAUGGCAAAUGACUUCAUUCCAUCAGAAGAUGCAAUCCGUCCAGAAACAAAAGGUAAACAAAUAUUCAAUGAGCUUGUCUCAAGGUCAUUCUUUCAAGAUGUAAACCAGGAUGGAAGUGGAAACAACUAUAUGACCACAUGUACUGUCCAUGAUCUUAUGCAUGAUGUUGCACUGUCUGUGAUGGGAAAAGAAUGUGUUACUAUAGAGGAGAGGCUGAACUAUAUGGAGAUUUUGCCAUACACUGUUCGCCAUUUGUUCUUAUCAUCCCAUGGUCCUGGAACCUUCUUGAGUGCUACACUGAAGGAAACAUGUUCAGGUAUCCAGACAAUGUUGGGCAGUAUUGAUGCUAGUAAUUCCGUACGACAUUUAUCAAAAUGCACUUCUCUUCGAGCACUGCAGCUCUGUUACUACAGGUCGAGUGGGCUUCCAUUUGUACCAAAGCACCUGAAGCACCUCAGGUAUCUCGACCUCUCCGGCAAUUGUCAUAUCAAGGCACUUCCUGAAGAAAUCUGCAUCAUGUAUAACCUACAGACGUUGAACCUUUCUGGAUGUGAACGUCUUAGUGGACUUCCAAAGGAUAUGAAGUACAUGACUGGCCUUCGGCACCUAUAUACUGAUGGAUGUCUGUCCUUAAAGUGCAUGCCUCCAAAUCUUGGAUGGUUAACUUCCCUACAGACGCUGACAUAUUUUGUUGUAGGCUGUAGCUCUGGCUGUAGUAGCAUUGGAGAACUGAGGCACAUGAACCUUCGAGGUCAGCUACAGCUAUGCCAUCUAGAAAAUGUAACAGAAGCAGAUAUAACAAUGGGUAACCAUGGGGGUAAAAAGGACCUCACUCAGCUAUCUUUUGCAUGGAAGAAUGAUUGCAGUGAAGUUGAUUUUCAUGAAAAGGUGCUAGAUGCUUUUACUCCUAACCGUGGUCUUCAGAUUUUACUGGUGGAUUCCUAUAGAAGCAUUAGGUUUCCAACUUGGAUGACAAACCUGAGUGUGAUGCAAGAUCUAGUCAAGUUGAGCCUAGUCAGUUGCACAAUGUGUGACAGACUUCCCCAGCUGUGGCAAUUGCCAGCUCUUCAGGUUCUUUAUUUGGAAAGGAUGGAUAGGUUGCACUGCCUAUGCAUCGGUGAUGGAGGCACUUUAACAUCCUCAACAUUUCCGAAAUUGAAGGAGCUUGUGUUACUUGAUUUGAAGAUUUUGAAUGGAUGGUGGGAAGUAAAAGGAAGACAUGGACACCAAUUGUUGUUUCCCCUUCUAGAGGAACUAUCAAUUGGGAGAUGCAAUAAGCUGACAAACUUACCAGAACCACCAAUGCUUGGACAAUCUUCUAGCUGCAAUGAUAAUAUGGCUCGCUCAGCAUUUCCAGCAUUAAAGAAACUCAUGUUACAUGGCUUGAAGAGUUUGAGAAAAUGGGGAAAAAAAGAAGAAAUAUGUGGAGAACAAUCAACAUUUCCGCUGCUUGAGGAGGCCAAUAUUAUAGAUUGUCCAGAGCUAUCAACUCUACCUGAAGCACCAAGGCUUAGAGUAUUAGCGUUUCCAGAAGAUAGGCCACUGAUUUGGUUAUCCAUGGCCAGAUAUAUGACUGCAUUUUCCAAUGCAAGAUUGAAAAUCGCACCUUAUUCUCCCUCGCACGUUCAAUGUUCAAUUCAACAGGUAGAUGGCAAGGGGAAAUGGAACCAUAGAUCUUCUCAUUCAGCUAUGGAGCUAUGUGGAAGCUAUUUCUUCCACACAAGCUGGAAAUAUUUUGUAAACCUUAGCUAUCUGGAAAUCAUUUCUUGUGAUGAGCUUAUGUACUGGCCAUUAAAAGAGCUCCAAUGCUUGGUAUCCUUGAACAGAUUAACAGUUCAUUGUUGCAAUAAUCUUAUUGGAUCUGCAAAGAUUCUUGAAGAAUCAGUAUCCGAAGGAAAUCAGCUCCUACCAUGUCUUGAAUUUUUGGAAAUAAAAAGUUGUCCAAACUUGGUUGAGAUUUUCAGCCUUCCUCCAUCAUUGAAGGAACUAUAUAUUGAGAGAUGCAGUAAGCUUGAGUUCAUAUGGGGUAAGCAGAGUACUGAAAGUCAGAGUUUUUAUGUUGAACACCCAGAUGACUUGACAUUAUCAGACUCCUGUAGUGGCCUUAGUGCCUCUGCAAUUGAACAAGAUCCCUCGUCUCUGGCAAGGAAUCAUUCUCUACCAUGCCUGGAAUCUCUAACACUAAUAAGUUGUCAAAGUUUGGUAGAGCUUCUCGAUUUUCCCUUGUAUCUUAAGGAAGUACACAUUUGGAGUUGCCCUAAGCUUGAGUUUAUAUGGGGAAAGCUGGAUAAACAAAUAAGGAGCCAGUAUUUUGAACAGCAGAACAACCUGGAAUUGUCAGAAUCUUGCAGUAAAUUUACUGCAUUCACAACUGUACCAGGUUCAUUGCCAUCAACAGUGAAUCGUCCCCUACCAUGUUUAGAAUAUCUUUGGAUAGCAUAUUGUGAAGGAUUGCUAGAAAUUAUUGAUCUCCCAUCAUCUGUGAGGACAAUAAUUAUCACGGACUGCCCUAAACUUGAGGUCCUGUCAGGGCAACUUCAUAAACUUGGCCAUCUUGAUAUUCGAUUCUGUGACCAGUUGAGGUUAAUAGAGUCAAUUCAGGGAGACUUCUCAUCACUGGAAACCGUCUCUGUUGAGGGCUGUGAGAGUUUGAAAUGCUUACCCAAUAAGGGCUCACAUACAUAG